rnacentral:snoRNA from 1 species
UUUGUGUCUGUUCUAAUACCACAGAGCCUAAAAUUAGCUUUGUGGCUUCGCUUUCAGACUAAAUUAACUCUUCAAACCUAUCCUAGUGUGAGUUUCUAAACAUGAACAUUGCACUGGUAUCUUGGAGAAACAUCU